CGGCGUUAGGUUUUCUCUAGGUGACCUGUCGGCAGGAUCAUCUAUUCGAAUAAACCUGAUGUGGCUGUUACUUCGGCUUUUCGACGCAGAUGCUCGUCCAUCAUCUUUAUCUCCACCUGUGCACAUUUUGUAGUCUUGGAUACCUCUCGAGGCAACUCGGAUUUUAGGAUCGCUGUGCUGUACAAGUCGGCUUUCCUUUCAUUUCCAAGACUAUGUUUUUUAUAUACACCAAAGUAUGUUUAAAGAAUGUCAUCAAUGGGAUAUAAAAUUAUACAACUUUCAGCAAUGGAUCUCUUGGCUCUCGCAUCGAUGAAGAACGCAGCGAAAUGCGAUAAGUAAUGUGAAUUGCAGAAUUCAGUGAAUCAUCGAAUCUUUGAACGCACCUUGCGCUCCUUGGUAUUCCGAGGAGCAUGCCUGUUUGAGUGUCAUUAAAUUCUCAACCUUCCAGCUUUUAUUAGCUUGGAUAGGCUUGGAUGUGGGGGUUGCGGGCUUCAUCAAUGAGGUUGGCUCUCCUUAAAAGCAUUAGCGGAACUUUUGUGGACCGUCUAUUGGUGUGAUAAUUAUCUACGCCGUGGAUGUGAAGCAACUUUAUAAAGUUCAGCUUCUAACUGUCCAUUAAUUUGGACAAUUUUGACAAUUUGGCCUCAAAUCAGGUAGGACUACCCGCUGAACUUAAGCAUAUCAAUAAGCGGAGGAAAAGAAACUAACAAGGAUUCCCCUAGUAACUGCGAGUGAAGCGGGAAAAGCUCAAAUUUAAAAUCUGGCAGUCUUUGGCUGUCCGAGUUGUAAUCUAGAGAAGUAUUAUCCGCGCUGGACCGUGUACAAGUCUCCUGGAAAUGGAGCGUCAUAGAGGGUGAGAAUCCCGUCUUUGACACGGACUGCCAGGGCUUUGUGAUGUGCUCUCAAAGAGUCGAGUUGUUUGGGAAUGCAGCUCAAAUGGGUGGUAAAUUCCAUCUAAAGCUAAAUAUUGGCGAGAGACCGAUAGCGAACAAGUACCGUGAGGGAAAGAUGAAAAGAACUUGGAAAGAGAGUAACAGUACGUGAAAUUGCUGAAGGGAAACGCUUGAGGUCAGUC
rnacentral:rRNA from 1 species